UACCAUGCUCACUUCACAGUAAACUCUUCACUCUUCUGAGGUUUAAAAGUCUAAAACUUACUUAAACAUCUCUUACUGGAGGGGCAUGCAAACAGAUGAGUGCCUCCUUAGUCUUCAAGUUGAGAUAACCCAAGCUGGCCUGCCCUACACUCACAGUAGGUGUAGGAAGCUGGUCUGUGCUUCUAAAUCAUCUUUAGCUGCUCCAUGCUCCAUAAGGGGAGGUGAAGAAGAAUGCGGAAGGAGAUUUACCAUAGUGAGGCAAAAAGCCCUCAUAAAUAAAGGACAUUUCCAAGAAGCACAACUUGUCCUAGGACAAGGCAGAUGCUCAAGUUCACAAACAUGGAAGAAAAGAGUCUAUUUUCCUUCACACUAAGACUUGCCUACAUCUUUUGCCAAGAAUAAAGGACACUGCAACAGC